AGAUAGCUUGAUUCUGGGGCAUCAGCCGUGGCGCCUUUAGGCUUAAGGCUUAAGCGAAGCAAACGUCAGGGAAAGGAAGAAGAAGAAGAAGAAGAAGAAGGUCAGAUAUUCACAGAUUCCAAGGUUGAAGAAGAAGAGAUUUGGUUUUAGACAAGACAAAAAGUUGAAGAAGAAGAAGAAGUAGAGCAACUCUACGAACAACACCCAACGGCGGCAUUUCCGAGCUUCGGUUUGAGUCUGUGUGAGAAGUAAUCGUUUUAAUGGGUGGAGUUGUGAGGGGAGUGAUAGUCGACCAUGCGCUGCUUCAACAUGGAAAUGGAGAGCCCGACAAUAACAACCCAACCCUCUCCUUGCUCCGCAAGCUCCCAUUCUCCAACAUCCGUACGGCUAUUUCCUAUGGAUUGCCUCUUUCAGCUGAUCAAGUCAAUCUCCUGCAGGCAAUGGCAGACCUACACUCUCUUCAAUGCCUUCCUUUGACUGCAUCUUCCAUGGACAUUGCUCCACGUGAGAUUGCCCAAGCUUGGGCUCAUAACUCAGGCACCAUCUUGUACCUCCUUCCUAACCGCGAUGCCUCUCCCAAAAUAACUUGCACUUUCUUCUCAAUUGCUCCGGGUGCUGAUGUUACCAGUGCACACAACAAGUCAAACAGGAUUUAUAUGGACAAAUUGGAAGAGCUACCUUUGACUAUUUGCCGCUUAAAUAAAAAGGCAAUAAGCAACGAUGUUGUGACAGUUGGUUACAUUAUGAAGCCUUCUCGUGAGGAAGAUUUUGCCAAGAGGGGUGCCUUUCCAAUGUGUGCAACUCCAAAUGGGUUGAUUUUUUUGCCCUUGACGUUCAAGAUUCCUAUAUCAACACAGUUAGAAGAGGUUGAUGUGAUUCUCCAUAAAGCAACUGAUGAAAUUGUGUCGAUUGAAUUAAACAGCUUCUCAGAACCUUCCUACAGAAUUGCUUUCACAACAGGAAUGCAGGAACUGCAAAGGAAUAUUGAAAAUCACAAUCAUUGCUUUGAAGUUGAUCCACUUAGUAGCAUUUACCCUGUUUUGGAUCGGUUAACGAUCCAACAAAUUCUACUUGGUCUGGAGGAUCUCAAUUCAGGAGGACGCUGCAAAGUCAGGGCCCCUCACUUUUUCAAGGUUGACAGGUUUGAUGAACCGGAUUUGGUACAAAGACUACGUGAUGCAAAGCUGUCUGUUCCAAGUAUAGUGAAACCUCAAGUUGCCUGUGGUGUAGCUGAUGCUCACAGUAUGGCAAUUGUCUUUAGAGUUGAAGAUUUCAAAGAUUUGAGUGUUCCGCUACCUGCUGUUGUUCAGGAAUACGUUGAUCAUUCAUCCACUUUGUUCAAGGUUUAUGUUCUGGGUGAGAGAGUUUUCCAUGCAGUAAAGAAGUCUACACCUAAUGCUGACAUUUUGAUGAAAUCAUCUGAAAUUAAUGGUCUCAGACCUCUUCUCUUUGAUAGCUUAAAAUCUCUACCUACUGGCACUGGAAACCAGCAUUCUGGAGGUCAGGAUCUGUGUCUUGAUCUUGCUCUAGUAAAAGAGGCUGCUGAGUGGCUUUCGAGGAGGCUUGGUCUUACCAUCUUUGGCUUUGACGUUGUUGGGACAUUCAGGGGACGAAGUUGGGUGAAUGGCUGAGAAGGGACAACCUUGGCAAUUUACUUGGUAUAACGUAGUUUGAAACUGUUAAAAGGAGGAAUUCAGGGAAUUUGGUGAAUCUAGCAUUGCGAUAAAUAAAGAAUUGCAUUGUGGAAUGAAGCUUUGACCUGGUGCAAAGAGAAGCCAAACCUAUGAGAUGUAGUGGAGGGUCUAGAAAACAUAUUCAGGAAGGUUCUGGGGAUCAUGUGAUUGUGGAUGUAAACUACCUGCCAUCAUUCAAAGAAGUUCCUGAUGGUACGGCGAUUCCUGCCUUCUGGGAUGCUAUUAAAAAGAAGGUUGAUUCAAAAGCAAUGAAGCAAGCAAGCGUGGCCGCCUCCCAUGGAAUGUAAAGCGGGUGCGAGAUAAGAAAUGCGGUUGGUGUCCAAUAAGAAAAUGAAAGACAACCUCUUGGGAGAUGAAUGAGAUGUCUUCUGACAAUAAGCUUGUAGUUCUUCACAUGUCCAUGUCUGUUAGGUGUGGUGCACCGUGCAUGUGAUGUGAGGCCGUGAUCUUACUAUCUCGAAAGUUUUGGGCUUCUUCUCUUGUUCUAAUUGAAGCUAGUACAGUACUACUUACCUUGCUGCCAUAUGAGUAAUUGAAGUAGGAAACCAUUAAUAAGGCUUUAUUUCUUAUGGGAACCAAAUCUAGUAUACUAUAUCCUACCUUUUGUUUCUUCAUUUGUUUUAUAAGUGACACUAUUUAUUUUCGUUAAAUGCAUUAAUCUCUUGUGUUGGAUUUUAUUUU